rnacentral:tRNA from 1 species
GGCUGUGUGGCGCAGUGGAAGCGCGUCUGCUUUACAAUGUUGAAAAUCGCAGACGGCCGCAGGUUCGAACCCUGCCACAGUCA